AACGGAGGAUCCGAGCGUUAUCCGGAUUUAUUGGGUUUAAAGGGUGCGCAGGCGGCCAUUUAAGGCAGCGGUUAAAUCGUGGGGCUCAACCCCAUUCUGCCGUUGAUACUGGGUGGCUUGAUUGCGGGCGAGGUUGGCGGAAUUCGGUGUGUAGCGGUGAAAUGCAUAGAUAUGACGAAGAACACCGAUUGCGUAGGCAGCUGACCAGACCGCAAAUGACGCUCAUGCACGAAAGUGCGGGGAUCGAACAGGAUUAGAUACCCUGGUAGUCCGCACAGUAAACGAUGAAUACUUGUUUUCGGCGAUAUAAUGUCGGAGGCAAAGCGAAAGCGAUAAGUAUUCCACCUGGGGAGUACGCCGGCAACGGUGAAACUUAAAGGAAUUGACGGGG
rnacentral:rRNA from 1 species